rnacentral:rRNA from 1 species
UCUCAGUUCGGAUUGCAGGCUGCAACCCGCCUGCAUGAAGCCGGAAUUGCUAGUAAUCGCGGAUCAGCAAGCCGCGGUGAAUACGUUCCCGGGCCUUGUACACACCGCCCGUCACACCAUGAGAGUCGGGAACACCCGAAGUCCGUAGUCUAACCGCAAGGGGGGCGCGGCCGAAGGUGGGUCCGGUAAUUGGGUGAAGUCGUAACAAGGUAGC